AUUGAACGCUGGCAGCAUGCUUUACACAUGCAAGUCGAACGGUAACAGGCCUUCGGGUGCUGACGAGUGGCGAACGGGUGAGUAAUGCAUCGGAACGUACCCAGAGGUGGGGGAUAACGCAGCGAAAGCUGUGCUAAUACCGCAUGUGAUCUGAGGAUGAAAGCGGGGGACCGAGCAGCAAUGUUUGGCCUCGCGCCUUUGGAGCGGCCGAUGUCGGAUUAGCUAGUUGGUGGGGUAAAGGCCUACCAAGGCGACGAUCCGUAGCUGGUCUGAGAGGACGACCAGCCACACUGGGACUGAGACACGGCCCAGACUCCUACAGGAGGCAGCAGUGGGGAAUUUUGGACAAUGGGCGCAAGCCUGAUCCAGCAAUGCCGCGUGCGGGAAGAAGGCCUUCGGGUUGUAAACCGCUUUUGGCAGGAACGAAACGGUGUCCGCUAAUACCGGGCGCUAAUGACGGUACCUGCAGAAUAAGCACCGGCUAACUACGUG
rnacentral:rRNA from 1 species